GAUCCUGGCUUAGGAUGAACGCUGGCGGCGUGCCUAACACAUGCAAGUCGAACGAAGUAUGCCCCUUCGGGGGUAUGACUGAGUGGCGGACGGGUGAGUAACGCGUGGGUAACCUGCCCUCUACAGGGGGACAACAGUUAGAAAUGACUGCUAAUACCGCAUGAGCGCACAGGGAGGCAUCUUCCCGUGUGAAAAACUAUCGGUGGUAGAGGAUGGGCCCCGCGUCUGAUUAGCUAGUUGGCGGGGUAAGGGCCCACCAAGGCGACGAUCAGUAGCCGGUCUGAGAGGAUGAACGGCCACAUUGGAACUGAGACACGGUCCAAACUCCUACGGGAGGCAGCAGUGAGGGAUAUUGCACAAUGGGGGAAACCCUGAUGCAGCAAACCGCUGCGUGAGUGAAGAAGUAUUUCGGUAUGUAAAGCUCUAUCAGCAGGGAAGAUAAUGACGGUACCUGACUAAGAAGCUCCGGCUAAAUACGUGCCAGCCGCUGC
rnacentral:rRNA from 1 species